CGUAGCAAUGGCGACUGAGGCUUGUGGGUAUCACAGUAUCAAACUAAAUAACGAAUCUCAGCGCUGACUUCACACUUUGGGGUGAUGGGACUGAUUCGUUAUUAGCCACUGAUGCAGGACACCUGGGACAGGCCAGGGCAGUAAAUCUGGAUGAAUGGUCAAUGCAAGUGAAGCGUAGGAUCCAGGGGGAAGGGCCGAGGCUGAGCUGAAGGACGAAACCGGUGACAACAUGGCAGAGGGCACGGCGGGCAUCCUGGUGCGGGCGGUGGCCGUGGCCGCCGCGUUGACGUCUACAUCGCUACGAGAGCGCUGGAGGGAACCUGGGGAGGAAGCUGCAGCGGGCGUCCUGGUGUGGGCAGCUUUGGCUGCAGGAGGUUUCAGCAGAGAGGAUCGACAUGUGAUGGAGAGGAAGACGCGUCUCACCUGAGGCUCUCCUGGGAGGACGAGGAGGAGCGAUCCGAGGCGGGCAGCGACAUCUGGCUGUCUCCGCUCCUCAGGUGAGCCUGCAGAGCUUUCUGAUAGGACGACUCCAGGCCCUGGAACAGCUGCUCCGCCUCCCGACGGAAGUGACCGUGGAAACUCCAGUAACACCUGACAGAAGAAGUCAGAGGCCAUUUGUGUUUAUAUAGGCUCCUACAUGAUAUGAGGUACAUAACGUACUGGCUCCGUAGGAUGCCGUAUGGAUGGGCGUGACUUACGUUCUGGCCACAGAGCGAGCCUCGGCGUCUGCAUCGUGGAUCCCUUUCUUUAUCAUCUCAGUUAAAACUGUUCCAUGUCUACGAGAAGGGGAAAAAGAAGAAAAAUGUUGAUUUAGCAGUGGUUUGUUUGACGUGACAGAGAGGAAUACACAUAAAAACCAGAGGUCUGUAAUGCAGAGCAGCUCGGUGAAUUAUUAAUGUCGUCACGUAAUGUGAUGCUUUACUUGAUUCCGGUGGGGAAAUCCUCUUUUCCCUUCCAACUCGGACGCCUCACGUCAGCUAGAAUCUGUCUUUCAAGGUAAUUAAACCCACAUUUAGUGGAUAAAGUGUUAUAUUAUAUACUCAAACCACUAAAUCUGCACUCACGCGACUGUCUUAAGAUGUCCAAUGAUGUGAAAGUGUUUAACUUGUGAAUCUUUCUCUAGCCUCCAAUGAUGUGAACACAGGAUAAACUCUGGUACCAACCUUUGAACUCAUGUAUGAGUCAGAGGAGCCAUCUGCUCUGCUGUCUCCAUUAGCUCAACUAUCACUUUGGGCUUUUACAGCUCCAUCAGUCAAUAUUUUGGGAUGCCCGUGUCGCUCUGUUUCUGCAGUUUGGGGAACUUAACGAGCUGAUAUUGUGGAUUUUAAAGCUCAUCGUUUUUAUUACGGCUCAUUUCAGAUGUUUUGAUACACGAAU